CCCGUUUACUUAAGCAUAUCAAUAAGCGGAGGAAAAGAAACCAACAGGGAUUGCCCCAGUAACGGCGAGUGAAGCGGCAACAGCUCAAAUUUGAAAUCUGGCCCCCCGGCCCGAGUUGUAAUUUGGAGAGGAUGCUUUUGGCGCGGCGCCGUCCGAGUUCCUUGGAACAGGACGCCACAGAGGGUGAGAGCCCCGUACGGACGGACGCCUAGCCUCUACAAAGCUCCUUCGACGAGUCGAGUAGUUUGGGAAUGCUGCUCAAAAUGGGAGGUAAAUUUCUUCUAAAGCUAAAUACCGGCCAGAGACCGAUAGCGCACAAGUAGAGUGAUCGAAAGAUGAAAAGCACUUUGAAAAGAGGGUUAAAAAGUACGUGAAAUUGUUGAAAGGGAAGCGCCUGUGACCAGACUUGCGCCCCGUGGACCAUCCGGCGUUCUCGCCGGUGCACUCUGCGGGGCGCAGGCCAGCAUCGGUUCUCCUAGGGGGAUAAAGGCCGCGGGAACGUAGCUCCUUCGGGAGUGUUAUAGCCCGUGGUGGCAUGCCCCUGGGGGGACCGAGGACCGCGCUUCGGCAAGGAUGCUGGCGUAAUGGUCACCAGCGACCCGUCUUGAAACACGGACCAAGGAGUCAAGCAUUGGGGCGAGUGUAUGGGUGCCAAACCCGCACGCGAAAUGAAAGUAAACGCAGGUGAGAGCUUCGGCGCAUCAUCGACCGAUCCUGAUGUCUUCGGAUGGAUUUGAGUAAGAGCCUUACCGCUUGGACCCGAAAGAUGGUGAACUAUGCCUGAAUAGGGUGAAGCCAGAGGAAACUCUGGUGGAGGCUCGCAGCGGUUCUGACGUGCAAAUCGAUCGUCAAAUUUGGGCAUGGGGGCGAAAGACUAAUCGA
rnacentral:rRNA from 1 species